AACGAACGCUGGCGGCAGGCUUAACACAUGCAAGUCGAACGCCCCGCAAGGGGAGUGGCAGACGGGUGAGUAACGCGUGGGAAUCUACCCAGAUCUUCGGAACAACACAGGGAAACUUGUGCUAAUACCGGAUACGCCCUACGGGGGAAAGAUUUAUCGGAUUUGGAUGAGCCCGCGUUAGAUUAGCUAGUUGGUGAGGUAAUGGCUCACCAAGGCGACGAUCCAUAGCUGGUCUGAGAGGAUGAUCAGCCACACUGGGACUGAGACACGGCCCAGACUCCUACGGGAGGCAGCAGUGGGGAAUAUUGGACAAUGGGCGAAAGCCUGAUCCAGCCAUGCCGCGUGAGUGAUGAAGGCCUUAGGGUUGUAAAGCUCUUUUAGUGGGGAAGAUAAUGACGGUACCCACAGAAAAAGCCCCGGCUAACUUCGUGCCAGCCGCCGCCGUAA
rnacentral:rRNA from 1 species